GGCUUUGAAACUUUCAGACAGGUAAGACUAUAUAUCAGAAAAGGUACAUGUGAAAAUUCAGGUAGCAAACAUUUAUUUUUCGAUGUUUAUUUGACAUUUUUGAUCGCUGUUGUGUGACAGUUUUGAUCGUUUUACACGGAGCUCCACCAUUCUAAGGAAAACGUUUGGAUGCAUAUACCUUUCUUAUUCUUUUAUUGGUUCAUAUUUAUAUAAAGAAUGUUUUAGCUAUCAAAACUUGAAGCAGAAACGUUAUAUAGGAACAUAAGAGUUCGUCAAAGUUUCCAUCAAGCAACUUGUUAUUUUGCAAAUGUCGGAGCACCGCUUGACAGUCUCCCGAAUGACCAAAUUAGUAGAAAACCGUACAGUUCCGUUCCCACACUGUG
rnacentral:lncRNA from 1 species